rnacentral:rRNA from 1 species
UAACCUACGGGGGGCAGCAGUGGGGAAUAUUGCACAAUGGGGGAAACCCUGAUGCAGCGACGCCGCGUGAGUGAAGAAGUAUCUCGGUACGUAAAGCUCUAUCAGCAGGGAAGAAAAAAAGUCUUUGGCUUUGGACGGUACCUGACUAAGAAGCCCCGGCUAACUACGUGCCAGCAGCCGCGAUAAUACGUAGGGGGCAAGCGUUAUCCGGAUUUACUGGGUGUAAAGGGAGCGUAGACGGCAGCGCAAGUCUGGAGUGAAAUCCCAUGGCUUAACCAUGGAACUGCUUUGGAAACUGUGCAGCU